UUUUUUUUUUGUUGAAUUAUGGACCCCAGUAUCGAUUUUGAAUCAUUAUCCAAAGUUCUGAAUCAAGUUGAGAGACUUGAUUUUGCAGAUUGAGGUAUAUCUGUUCAAGUUGAGUCAUGAUCUUAUCAACUUUGGUGUCAGUCUGCUUAACUUGAGACGCAACCUUUUCAAUUUUGUCAUCAAGGGUUCUAAAAGCCUAAUUUUGUGCUCUGGUAUUCUGUGUUUGCCAGUUUAGGGCGGCUUUAAAAGGUCUUGGAUCCUCAAGUUGGCCUGUGGGAGUUACUAGAGAUGGGACAAAAGGUUUGGUGACAACCUUUGUCUGAGGAUCUGUGUGUUUUUCCAAAAAUGGAAACUGCUCUUGGUAUGAGCUGGAUGAAAACAUCAUGCAAGACUGGAUUGGUGAUGUUGCAUACUAUACUGAUUAGCCUCUUGUUUGCAUGUCUUUUGCUGAUACUCCUUUUGAAUAAGGUUUAACCCUUUUCUAUAGAUCAGCAAAGGAGUUGUACUGUCUGGGUCAUCUGGAGGCAAAGAAGGCCUUUGUUGGCAUGGUUCCAUCUUAUGACUUUUCUUUUUCCGAUGUCUAGGCCGUCUAUUAAAGUCAUCAUCAUCCUCUUCUUUAAGGCAUGGACAGUCUGGAUCACACAUAUGGGAACCUGGAACAUCCCAUAAAAAGUUACCAUUAAUCUUAUCCGGGUAAAUCGGAUAGCCAUCAGAAGCAAAUCCAUGGAUGAGAAUGUCUUCAUGUGCUGUUGGAACAACCGUAAUCAUGGAAGAGUAAAAGAAAGAAUUUCUGGGUGGUGUUUGUUCAGUUGGUGGCGUCCUCACCCUUUGAGAGCUCUUUUAGGGCUGAGUUAGGCUUCGGCCCAAACUGGUAUCAGAGCCCAGGUGUUCACCGGGGGGAAUAUGAGUGUGUGAAAGAUAAGCACCUCAUCCCACAUCGGUUGGGAUCCUGGCUGUGUGCUAGCUUAUAAGUGCUGGGCAGUCCUCACCCUUUGAGAGCUCUUUUGGGGCUGAGUUAGGCUUCGGCCCAAACCCAUAACACAUCUUCAGUGGUGUCUCUGGUCGGAUCAAGGGUUAAACCUGUAAGGAACAUAUUUUCUGGGUGGAAAGUGGAAAAAUGAAAAGGGUCGGUGACAAGGUAAGCUUUCAUGAAAAAGCGAAAGAGAGCUUUUCUAGCAUCGUUUUAUGGCCAUUUUACCGGCCGUGCACGCGCGCGAACGGGUGCCGACAGCACACGCGUUUUGGCCAAAUUUCGCCUUUGUGCAAGCCACUUAGAUCUGCUGUACCGUACAUCCGCCUUGGCCGUACAGCAGGUCUCUUGAUCAAUGUUCCCUCCAAUCUACUUCUGCUGAGCAGUAUGUCACUUUAGAAAUUUCCCCUGAGCUCAUUUCCCACUGGAAACAGCAACGAUAUACUCACUUUCAUCUCGGUGGUGUCCGCCUUAUUCUCACCCUCCAUGGGCGAAAAGGUCUUCCUGUCACAGCCCGUAUUGCACUCCUUGACACCCGCUUCAAACAAUAUGAGCAGGCUACCAUUGGUACUGUCCUCACUACCCUGCAUGCUGGCAGUGUUGUUCUCACUGUCUAUCCCAACUUCAAUCUUUCCCUUGAUGACCCCAACCUUUCCACUUUCUUAAAAAUCCAAGUUCAGAUUCAAGGAGCUGAACAAGUCUCCAGUGCAAAGAUUGCUACCGUCCACCAUCAGUUGGUUUACAGACUUCAGAACCACUCCCUUAUCCUUCCCACACCUCCCGAUCUCAGUUCAGAUACACUCAUGAUCCUUGCUGAAUCUCCAGACAUCCCUACCAUUAUCCAGAUCCCACGACAGAUCCCUCGUGCUGAUCUUCUCAAGAUCAUGCCUCUCGAGUGGAUAACCAACUAUGAGCAUUUCCAUCAAAACACCACUCCUGUUCAAACCUCUGAACCCAUGUAUGAGAAACGACCUGAUGGUUCUAUUCGCCUUCAGUUCAAACCUCCUCCUUCUGCCCCUGCAGAACCUCCCCGAUUAUCCUUUACUUGCUCAAUGGUCCAACCUGUUGACAUCAUUCCAGAAGUCCUUCCUUCUGGAAAAACAUUACCCAUUAUGUCCUUCACCUCCCAAGGUACUCCUGUUUACCCAGACAAAAUUGAUGGCCAUUUCUUCUGGGAUGUUCCUGGCUCUGGCCGAUGUGAUCCCGGCUGUCCAUGUAAUGAUGAUGAGGAUGAUUAUUCCUCCAGACCAAAAAAGAAGAACAUUAUCUAUCUUGCCUGCAAAUUAUACCUGCCCGAAGAUGAUGAUGAUGAACCCGAUUAUCCACCUCCUUUGCCACUUUACAACAAAGGACUUCAGUGGAUCCAGAAACAUCAGCCCAGAUCAUCCAGUCCGUUCCUCGACUGGUCUUCUGCCUACACCUCCUAUGGUGCCCUGCAUGAUGUUCUCAUCUGCCUCUGCCUCUGCCUCUGCCUCAGAUUAUAGUUCUGAGUACCCGCCUCUUGAGAAACGCUCAGACCAAAAGCACCAGGUCUGGAGCAAACCAUUUGUCAACUCUCCUAUUUCCUCCAGUGGACAUCUUGAAGAACCCAAGCCUUUUGAAGCAGUCCUUAACUGGAAAACUCAGAAUGCCAGAGUCCAGAAUGCUUCUCUUACUUCCUUACACUCUAAAGUUGAUCAGAUCGCUCACAGAUCCUCUGCUGUUGAAACAAGGGUUACUUCCCUCUCAGACCAGUUGACCAAUUUGUAUAAUAGUCUUCAUACUAAGGUUGCACAGCUUGACCGUGACCUUCGAGCCAUGAUUGCCCGCGGUGAUAAUUCUCAUGAGUUCACUCGAAAAGAGCAAGAAAUCAGACAGCUUCAAGCUGAAAUUCUGCUGUACGGCCAAGGCAGAUGUACGGUACAGCAGUUCCUCGAUGUUCUGGUUUUACAGAAAUAAAAAAAAAUUCUCAGAUUCAUAUUAUUUUCUCUCAAUAUUUCUUAGCUUCCAAACAAGCUGUUUUCUCACUUGGUAUCAGAGCCAAAAUAAUGGCGUCUGUUAAUCUAGUUUCUUCAAAUCAGAUCCAAAAUACUCCCGCUGCUUCAACUAAUAUUUCAUUCACCUUCAAUACACCAGUAAAGCUUGAUCAAGCUAACUAUCUCAUAUGGCGAUCUCAAGUGCUUGCUUCAAUUCGUGGCAACAGACUUGAAAAGCAGAUACAUGAACCAGUAUUUCCUGACCUUCCAUCUACCUCAGCCUUACCUCCAUUUACAGAAUCUCCUUCUAAAGCCGAACAAAAGAAGCCUGCUGAAAAUUACCUUAUCAUUGCACCAGAACUUGACCAGCUUAAUAGCUCCUCAGAAGAAUCCAGUCCCUCUGACUCAGUCGAAACCUUUGAUUCUAUCACUGAGACUUCUGAGCCCAAUGGUUUCAGUUCUGAUGAUUCCCAACAGCACUUGACUGAUAUUUCCCGUCUUCUUAUGGCGGAUCAUACUGAGUCUACCACUACUGAUCCCCCUCCUCGGGAACCUGGCCAACCCUAUGUUGACAUUCCUUCCGAUGUUGAAGGAGAAAAUAAAGGAGACAACUCUAAUCCUCCUCCAAGAGUUCGAACUAAAGUUGCCUCUGGCAAUGGACCAUGGUUUACCUUUGAUGAUCUUCCACCGGCUCGGUGGCGUGAACGUCUCCAGGAACUCUCUGCCUGGUUAGAUUUACAAAUGGUUAAACCUAAUGCAGAACUCUCUGCAGUUCUUAAAGAAUUUGUCUCCCGGUUUACUGGCUCUCUCCGUGAUUGGUUUGACAGUCUCGGACAAUACAGUCAAUUACUGUACCUUCGGCACCCUACUGUCUCUGCUGCUCUCAUGGACAUUCAUUCCCAGUUUCUUGGAGAACCUGCAGCUAUCUUUGCCACUGCUCGUAAAGAAUAUCUCCAAAUAAUCCGUCGCCAGAUUGCUAAUGCCCAGCUCGACAUCAACAAUCUUUCUCUUGGUCGUCUCUUCCAGCUGGCUUUAGUGUCUCUUGAUUACCUCUGUGAUUAGAAGAAAUUCUUUCAAAACCUCAUGAAAGACAAAGAAGGUUUCCGAACCGCCUGCAAGAAACCCUACUUGGAAAUCAAGUGCAGAGACUCUAAGCAUUGUACUUGUCCCUCCACGAAGAAACACCACAAAGUCAUAUUUCACAAAAAAUCUUCCAAAACUCCACAGUCACGCCCAUUCCCUAGGCGUCCCAAAAAGAUUCGGUACUUCAGAAGACGAGAACCUUCUGAGAUCCUUGACAGACGAAGAAAAAAGAGCAGAUGCUUCAUUUGCAAAAAGCUCGGACAUUUUGCUAAAGAAUGCCCUAAGAAUCCUAAGCGGUCUCAACGCUUAGUUCAACAGCUUCAGUCCUUACAUCAGUUCUCUCCUGAUACUGACCAAAUCGAGUUUCUAUACUCUGAACAAGAAAGUCCUGACCCGGAUAUAGUUUUUGCCCUUGGCACUUCUGAUUCAGAUUCAGAUUCAGCUUCAUCUACUAAACCAGAAGACUAUUCCCCUGUCUUCCACCUCCGGUCAGUACCUUCAUCCUCCACUCAAUUAUCAGUUCAACCCAUUCCUUCCGUCAAAAUCCAAAUCCUGUUAUCCAAAUACAGUCGGCCCAUUCCUGCUAUUGCCUUCAUAGAUACUGGCGCUCAGCACAGUAUUUUAAACCCUGCUAUUUUGCCGCCUGAAACCUGGAUUUCAAAUAAAAAUCAUUUCCGUGCUGCUAGUGGAAAAUUGUUUUCUACAAAGCUCCGCACUAAGUCUAGAACUGGAAUUCAGCUGUUCCCAAAGCUCACAGUUUGGACCCAUGUUAUUGGGUCUAGCCUACCUGACAAAGAUCUUCUUCUUGGGUUUGAUAUCCUAUUCCAAGCCCAAAAGAUUCAAGUCCUUCCUACUGGUCUCAGAUUCCAGUCCAUGUUCCAACCAUACACAGACCAGCUCAAACUCUAUCAUUUGGCCCAGUCCCCUCCUGAUUAUCAGUCUAUUUCGGCCCAGUUACUAAGGUUUUGUCCUCCAAAUCAUUUGGCCUUUGCCCAUCCACAUCCUCUGUGGAAAAAUCCAGCCCAUUUCGUUAAGCUCCCUUUUAAGCUUAAUGAAGACCUUAAUCCUACCAAAGCAACCCAUCCGGGUAUGCCUCCUUCUGAGCUUCAGUUAGCCCAAACAGAAUGUGCAGAGUUACUCGCCCAAGGCCUCAUUGAGCCCACAACUUCUCCGUGGGCCUGCCAAGCCUUUUAUGUUAAUAAACGUGCCGAAACAUUACGGGGUAAAAAGCGUCUUGUUAUUGAUUAUCAGCCUUUAAACCAGUUUUUACAGGAUGAUAAAUUUCCCUUACCUCGAAAAAAUUCCAUCUUUACCUACCUCCAUAAGGCUCCACCCAAAAGACCUUCCCAAGGCCUGUACAAACUUUUCCUUCCCUCUACCGCCUUCAGGAGUUUGCUAAACAAUUUCAGCUCUUUUUUCAAAGAGAGCGUCAAAAGUUUGAACAUCUUGAGAAUUCUGGUGGAAUUUUUCAUAAUUGGAUAGCCACUCAAGAGGCAUAAGCUUCAAGAGCUCUUACUUUGGGGGCAACAACUAAUAGCUCUUAAUAUUGGAGGUAAUCAAGGGCGUGCUGCCAUAGGAGAGCAAGAUAGUGAUGACCUAGAUAAUUUUGAUGACCAGGCCACCGUUGAUAGGCGUGGAAGAGAUGAUAGAAGGGUAAGACAUAUAGAUCAUGACUUGGGGAGUAUCAAGCUAAAAAUCCCUUCUUUUCAAGGUAAAAACGAUUCGGAAACUUAUUUGGAGUGGGAAAAAAAGAUGGAGCUAGUACUUCACUGCCACAACAAAUUUGAGGAGAAAAAGGUAAAACUAGCUGUUGUUGAAUUUACUGAUUAUGCUAUUAUUUGGUGGGAUCAGCUUGUUUUAAGUAAGAGACGAAAUUGUGAAAGGCCUGUAGACACUUGGGAGGAGAUGAAGGCCAUCAUGAGGAGGAGAUUUGUUCCUAGUCAUUAUUAUAGGGAGCUGCACUAAAGGCUUCCAAGUCUUACAUAAGGUUUCAGAAGUGUGGAAGAUUACCAUAAGGAGAUGGAAAUAAUCAUGAUUCAUGCCAAUAUUGAAGAAGAACGAGAGGCCAUUAUAGCUUUUUACUUGGUUUAAAUCAAGAUAUUGCUAAUGUGGUUGACUUGUAGCACUAUAUUGAGUUGGAUGACAUGGUUCACAUGGCCAUGAAAGUGGAAUGACAACUAAAAAAGAAAAGUUCCACUAGAACCAAUUUGGGUUCAUCUUCCUCAUGCAAGGAAAAAUGGAACAAAAAUGAAAUGGUUGUUUCAAAGCCUAAGAUUUAGCCAUGCAAGGAUCAUAAAGAGGGAGGCAACCAAAGCAAAGGUAAAUCUGAUUCCCAACACUCUAGAAAUAGAGAUAUUAAGUGUUUUAAAUAUUUAGGGAUAGGUCAUAUUGCAUCUCAAUAUCCAAAUAAGAGUGUAAUGAUCUUGAGGGAUGAUGGUGAUGUUGAAACCGAGAGUGAUUCAGAUGAUGAUCCUAUGCUACCUUUGGAGGAUGCUAAUGAUGUUGUAGAGUAUCCUAUUGAUAGUAAAUUGAUGGUUGCAAGUGAAAGAAGAUGCAGAGGUACAACGUGAUAACAUCUUUCAUACUAGAUGCCACAUCAAAGAUAAGGUAUGUAGUAUGAUAAUUGAUGGUGGAAGUUGUACUAAUGUAGCUAGCACUAGUUUAGUUGAAAAUUUGAAUUUGAAAACUUUAAAACAUCCUAGGCCAUAUAAGCUACAAUGGCUGAAUGAUUGUGGGGAAGUUAAAGUAAAUAAACAAGUGCUGGUUUCAUUCUCUAUUAGGAGAUACAAGGAUGAGGUUCUAUGUGAUGUAGAACCCAUGCAUGCUAGACACAUUCUUUUGGAGUGACCUUGGCAAUAUGAUAGGUGUGUGUACUUGAUGGUUACUUAAAUAGAUAUUCUUUUGUAAUGAAUAAAAAGCAAAUCACUCUUGUAUCUUUAACACCUAAACAAGUGCAUGAGGAUCAAAUGUCAAUACAAGAAAAGAGUGAUACAAAAAAUGAAAAUGAGAGUACAAAAUAAAGGGAGAUUGAGAGAAAAACAAGUGGAAUGAUAGAAAAAAAAUUAGAAUAUUGUUGAAAGAAAAGAGAGACAGCAAGUGAAUUUAUUUGCAAAAGAGAGCGAGGUUAAGAGGGCUUUCUUUUCAAAACAGCCUAUCAUUGUACUUUUGUGCAAAGAGGCUUGUUUACAUACUAAUGAGCUUAACUCUUCUUUGCCUAGUGCUAUUGUGACUCUUUUACAAUACUUUGAUGAUGUGUUUCCAAAUGCAGUUCCUAAUGGUUUGCCACCUAUUAGGGGAAUUGAGCAUCAAAUAGACUUUAUCCCUGGAGCUACCAUUCUUAAUAGUCUCACAUAUAGAAGCAACCCUAAGGAGACAAAGGAGCUUCAAAGGCAGGUUGAAGAACUCCUGGCAAAGGGAUAUGUGAGGGAGAGCAUAAGUCCAUCUGCGGUACCAGUUCUACUAGUUCCCAAAAAGGAUAGAGCAUGGACAAUGUGCAUUGACUGUCGUACAAUCAAUAAAAUCAUUGUAAAGUAUAGACAUCUUAUUCCUUGACUUGAUAACAUGCUUGAUGAAUUGCAUGGUUCUUGUGUUUUUAGUAAAAUUGAUCUUAAAAGUGUAUAUCAUCAUAUUAGGAUUAGAGAGAGAGGUAAGUGGAAAACUGCCUUUAAAACAAAAUAUGGUUUAUAUGAGUGGUUAGUGAUGUCAUUUGGGUUAUCUAAUGCACCUAGCACUUUUAUGAGGUUAAUGAACCAUGUUUUGAUUACAUUUUUUUAUCUAUAGUAAAAGUCUAAAUGAACAUAUUGAGCAUUUGCAAAGUGUAUUAACUAUUUUAAGGAAGGCAAAGUUGUAUGCUAAUUUGAAGAAGUGUUCUUUUUGUGCAAAUCCAAUUGUUUUUCUUGGUUAUGUUGUAAGUGCUAAAGGAAUUGAGGUUGAUGAAGAGAAGGCAAAGGCUAUUAGGGAGUGGCCUAUACCUAAAAGUGUAAGUGAGGUAAGAAGUUUUCAUAGUUUGGCUAGUUUUUAUAAAAGAUUUGUAAAAGAUUUUAGCACCCUUAUUGCACCAUUAACUGAAAUUGUGAAGAAACAUGUGGGAUUUAAGUGGGGUAGCGAAUAAGAAAGGGCAUUUUAAUCUAAUCAAGGAGAAAUUGGUUUCUACACCAUUACUUGCUUUACCUGAUUUUGUUAAAACUUUUGAAAUUGAGUGUGAUGCUUCAGGUAUAGGUAUUGGAGCUGCUUUGAUGCAAGAAGGUCAUCCAAUUGCCUAUUUGAUAUGAACCCCAUCAAGAACUGACGCGUCCCCAAGAUUCAUUAUACACCAAGAAUUGAAUGGAACCUUGACCCAAUGUUAUGUGAAGACGCCACGAUCAAUAUGGAUGGUCUGAUUGAUAAGUCAAGAGUUUGAAUGCUCCGGAAAUCUGAUAAGUUCAAAGAGUUUGUAAAGAACCAAAGAGAAUUAACUCCCUCACCAAUUGCAUAAAAAACUUAUCUAUUUAUUGGAUACGAGUACAUUAUCUAGGGUUGGUUGCAAGAAUUUUUGGAAAUAAAUCCUAAACCAAAAAUCAAAUCUAAAUUUGAAUAUAAACAAAUAGGAAAGAAUCUAAAUCAAAUCUGAAUCCUAAUAUAAGUGAAUAUGAAAGAAUCUAAAUCAGAUCGGAAUCCUAAUCUAAGUAAAUAAGAAAGAAUCUAAAUCAAAUCAGGAUCCUAAUUGGUUAGGCGAUUAAAAUAAAAGUAAUUGAUUUGCUUCCCUAAUAGCCUCCUCACCAAUUGUAUAAAAAACUUAUCUGUUUAUUGGAUACGAGUACAUUAUCUAGGGUUGGUUGCAAGAAUUUUUGGAAAUAAAUCCUAAACCAAAAAUCAAAUCUAAAUUUGAAUAUAAACAAAUAGGAAAGAAUCUAAAUCAAAUCUGAAUCCUAAUAUAAGUGAAUAUGAAAGAAUCUAAAUCAGAUCGGAAUCCUAAUCUAAGUAAAUAAGAAAGAAUCUAAAUCAAAUCAGGAUCCUAAUUGGUUAGGCGAUUAAAAUAAAAGUAAUUGAUUUGCUUCCCUAAUAGCCUCCUCACCAAUUGUAUAAAAAACUUAUCUGUUUAUUGGAUACGAGUACAUUAUCUAGGGUUGGUUGCAAGAAUUUUUGGAAAUAAAUCCUAAACCAAAAAUCAAAUCUAAAUUUGAAUAUAAACAAAUAGGAAAGAAUCUAAAUCAAAUCUGAAUCCUAAUAUAAGUGAAUAUGAAAGAAUCUAAAUCAGAUCGGAAUCCUAAUCUAAGUAAAUAAGAAAGAAUCUAAAUCAAAUCAGGAUCCUAAUUGGUUAGGCGAUUAAAAUAAAAGUAAUUGAUUUGCUUCCCUAAUAGCCUCCUCACCAAUUGUAUAAAAAACUUAUCUGUUUAUUGGAUACGAGUACAUUAUCUAGGGUUGGUUGCAAGAAUUUUUGGAAAUAAAUCCUAAACCAAAAAUCAAAUCUAAAUUUGAAUAUAAACAAAUAGGAAAGAAUCUAAAUCAAAUCUGAAUCCUAAUAUAAGUGAAUAUGAAAGAAUCUAAAUCAGAUCGGAAUCCUAAUCUAAGUAAAUAAGAAAGAAUCUAAAUCAAAUCAGGAUCCUAAUUGGUUAGGCGAUUAAAAUAAAAGUAAUUGAUUUGCUUCCCUAAUAGCCUCCUCAAGAAACGGGAAAGUAUCUGAAAAAGGAAACCAUAACGUGCAAACCAACUCCCUAUUUCAUGAAAGUGAUUUAUCAUGUGCGAUUCCUUUAAUGGGCCUCCACGAAUUUGAUUGAGCCCAAGUUGCUUGAAUCAAUCCAUUAAGUGCUUCUUUGAAUUUCUUUGCUCAAGCUCUUAACAGGAACUUGAGUAGGAUAUGAAUAUGCCUCAUCCCAUAGGCUUGUGAUAGUUUUAUCCUUAAUCCAAUUUUAGUGAGAAAUUAGAUGGAGCAGCCCUAAACUACCCUACUUAUGACAAAGAGAUGUAUGCAUUGGUGAGAGCAUUGGAAACUUGGCAAGGUAAGUUGCAUAAGAGUUUGUUAUACACACUGAUCACGAGUCCUUGUAAGUUGCAUAAGAGCUAUGCCCGUUGGAUUGAAUUUAUUGAGCCAUUUCCUUAUAUGAUCAAAUACAAACAAGGUAAGGAGAAUGUGGUGGUUGAUGCAUUAUCUAGAAGGUAUGCACUUAUCUUUACAUUAUCUCUACACCACCAUUUGGUAAGUUCUAUAGGCAUGAUGGGUUCUUAUUUAGAAAGAAUAAAUUGUGUGCGCCUCAUAGUUCUUUGCAUGAAUUGCUUGUGCGUGAACCUCAUGGGGGAGGUUUAAUGGGACAUUUUGGCAUUGCAAGGACUUUAGAUGUUUGAAAAGAACACUUCUUUUGGCCACAUAUGAAACGUGAUGUUGAAAGAAUAUGUGAGAAGUGUAUAGCUUGUAAACACGCUAAGUCUAGAGUUUUAUAACCCUUUACCUUUAACUAGGUCAAAAAGGGGAAAGUAUUAUGUUUUUGUUUAGGUUUUCAAAGAUGGAACAUUUCAUUCCAUGUCACAAAACUGAUGAUGCAACAAACAUUGCUAAUUUGUUUUUCAAGGAAAUAGUUAGAUUGCAUGGAAUACCAAGGAGCAUAGUUUCAGAUCGAGAUGCUAAGUUCUUGAGCCACUUUUGGAAAACUUUACGGGGUAAUUUGGGUAAUAAACUUUUGUUUACAAACUCAAGUUGUAAAUCAAACCUUGUCUACUUUGCUGCGUGCCAUUAUUCAAAAGAACUUGAAAACUUGGGAAGAAUGUUUGCCGCAUGUUGAAUUUUAUUAUAAUAAAACUGUGCAUUUCGCUACAAAAUUUUCACCAUUUGAGAUUGUAUAUGGUUUUAAUCCAUUAACUCCUUUGGGCUUAUUACCGUUACUUAUUGAUGAGCUUACCAAUUUGGAUGACCAGUAGGGACUCAUGACGGGAAACUAAGAUUCAUUGAUUUGGGCAGAUUCAGGGAUAUAGGAGUACUCAACAAGGUUUUUGAUUUUUGAGGAUAUGUGUUUUGAACAAGAUUUGGGAAGGGACAGAGUAGAGGAGAGAGAAAUAUGCGAUGAGGAAGAAGGAGUCGACGAUGAAGUUGGAGUUGUUUCCAUGUUUUGAGAUAUUCUUCUAGGAAAUCUAAGAAAGAUAUGUCUCGGCAAAGAAAGACAUGGCUCUGGAGUGGCUUUUAGUGAAUCUUCUGGUGGGACUGAAGCAACAAAUGAAGAUGAAGUGGCCUUGGACUUUGGUUCUAAGAUUUUGACUUUGGAUUUGGAUUUUUUCGAUGAAGAUGGCUUUGGUGGAGGAGUCGGUUGAAGGUGGGAGAAUCCAAAGAACUGAUUGUAAACAAGUUGUUGUUGAGGUAUGGAUGGAGUAUAGAAAGGUGCAUAGGUGUCAAACAUCGGAGUAGGAAUAGGAGUGGAUGAUGUUUGGGUAAAAAGUGAUGGCCGGGUUUUUUCAUUAUCAAUCCUGGCUAACUCAGCUUUGAGUCGUCUGAUCUCUGCUUCUUUUUUGUUGAAUUCGGGACCCCAUAUGUGAUUGUUUAUCAUUCGUCUGAGAUUUGUGUCUAAUUCAGAGAUUCUGUCCUGAAGAUGUAUGUAUAUCUUAUCAAGACGGCUGCUGAUUGAAUCCACCUUGGUUUCAGUUUGAGAGACUUGACUUGCGACUCGGUCGAGUUGGUGGAGAGUUUGAUUAUGAGCACUGGUGUUUUUGGUUUGCUAGUUGAGAACAACUUCAUAUUGGUUUGGCUCUUUUGGUUGGCCAGAAACAGUAACUGGGGAUUGAACAUAAGGUUUGGAGAUGACUUUGGUCUGUGUGCCUAUUUGUUUUUCAAGUGUGGGAAAAGACUCGUCAUAAGAUUGACUUUGACUUGAAAACAUAAGGCAUGAUCUGAUUGGAUGGACAGGAGGUUUGGGAUCUGGUGGAGGUUGUGGAAGAAAGGAUUUGAAGAUGAUUUUGGAUAAGAAGGCUUUUUCUGCUUCCUUUUCUUUUUUCUCAUAAUUUCCAGUUCUUCAUCAACAUCCGUAUCAUCCAAACAAGGACAAUCCGGAUUACACAUAUGGGCUUCAGGAAGAUCCCAUAGAAAAUGACCAUUGAUUUUGUCAGGGUAAACUGGAUACCCUUCAGAUGAAAAACAUUGGAAGGUUCUUUUCCUGACCAGUUUGGACUGCUGUAAUCAUAACAGUAUAGGAAAACUGGGGAGUGUCUGAAACAGGCUUGGUUUCAGGUGUUUAAAAAGACAGUUUAACCUGUCCAUUUUGUCGUCUUUCAAAUGUGGCUUCCGUUGUUUGAACUGGUUCAGAGUUUUGGUGGAAGUGCUCAUAAUUGGUCAGCCAUUCAAGAGGCAUGAGUGUGAGCAAUUCUUGUUUCUGGAUCUGUUUGGGAAUUUGGAUUAUGGUUGGGAUUGUGUCUGUAUCUGCAAGGAUCAUUAAUGCAUCGGAUGUAGUGUGUGGUGUAGGAAGGUCUAGUGCAUGAUUCUGUAAUCGAUACACUAUUUGGUGAUAAAGGGUUGCAAUCUUUGAUGUGGGUGUUUAUUCUGCUCCUUGGAGCUGGAUCUGGACUUUAAUGGUCAUAGGCAAGUUGGGAUCCUCAACAAAGAGGUUGAAGUUUGGGUAAAAGGUUAACAGGACACUACCAGCAUAAAGAGUAGUCAAAACGGUUCCAAUAACAGCAUGUUGAUACUGUUUGAACCUGGUAUCUAGAAGAGCAAUUCUGGCUGUGACUGGUAAGCCUUUUCUGCCAUGGAGGGUAAGUAUCAAUCGAACACCACCAAGAUGGAGAUGCGUAUACCCUUCGCGUUUCCAGUUUGCUACAAGAUCUGGAGGGAUUUCUAAAGUGACAUAUUGUUCACUCUGAGAUGCUUGUAAAGCACACUGAUCGAGUCUAGAAGACUGGAUGUAUUCUUUUGGAAAGAUUGAGUAUUCCAUUUUACAAGCUAAACGGUUUUAAUGAACCGUCCCUCAAGCAUGUCUUCAUUGCCUCCCUUCCAACAGAAUUUCAACCUGAUCUUCAAAGACAACUUACUGCCACAAAUCUCAGCAUAACCGAAAUUUCUCUUGGAAAGAUUUUUCAAAUAGCAAUGCUAUGCCUUGACAAAAUCUGUGAACAAAAAGAAUUCUUCAAAGAUCUCAUGGCAGUCAAAAAACUUUUUUCUGAAGCUUGCAAAAAACCCUAUCUCCAAAUCGAGUGCAAAGAUGAGAAGAAAUGUUUUUGUCCUACCAAGAAGAAAAAGCAUUUCCAGAAACACUUCCACAAAAACUCAUCCUCCAAAAAGCCUUUCCGAUAUUUCAAGAAAAAAGAUGUUUCCCAGUAUAGAAAAAAGAAGCAUAACCGUUGUUUCAUCUACAAGAAACGCAGUCACUUUGCUCGAAGCUGUCCUCAUAAAUCUGCUAAAGCUGUUCGUCUUAUCCAACAUCUCCAACAUUCUUCAUUGUUAUCUGAAAAUAAAGAUGUUGAAUCCAACUUCUCGGAACAAUCAAGCCAAGAUGAUCAGACUGCUUUUAUUCUCGCAGAAUCUUCUAAUUCUGAUGACAUUUCCAUCAUCUCUAUAGUCCAAAAUGUCAACCAGGUUUCAUCUAUUCCCAUACCUUCCCUCAAAAUGUCAAUCCUUCCUUCCAAAUUUCAUAAACAUGUUCCUGUCAUUGGGUUUAUUGAUACUGGUGCAGAUACUAGUAUGAUUGAUCCUUCUGUCCUUCCCCCUGAUUGUUGAGAAAACCAUUCUAAAUUAUUCAGAGCAGUUAAUGGCGAAACAUUUGAAACAACUCUGAUUACCAAAAAAAUCCAUUGGUAUUCAGUUCUUUCCAAAUUGCAUAAUUUGGAAAAAGAUUAUAGCUUCUACCCUUCCAGAUAAAGACUUGCUUAUAGGUUUUGCUACAAACAGAUGUUCUUGCCUUAUACAGAUGAACUCCGUCUGUAUACCAUUUCUAAUGUCCCAACUCCAUACAGUCACAUUUCACAAAAACUUCUUGAGUUUUGUCCAGACAUCAUUCUCAAUUCCAUCAUCCUUCCCCUCUCUGGAAAAAUGAACAGUUCUUCAUUCACCUUCCUUUCAAACUCAAUGAAGACAUAAACCCUACAAAAGCCUCUCAUCCGGGCAUGUCUCCUUCAGACCUCUUACUUGCUAAGCAAGAAUGUUCUCAGUUGCUUCAGCAAGGUCUUAUUGAACCAACUUAUUCAGAUUGGGCUUGUCAAGCCUUUUAUGUUGAAAAAUGAUCUGAAUUAGUUCGUGGUAAAAAGCGAUUAGUCAUUGAUUACCAGCCACUCAAUUCUUUUCUUAAAGAUGAUAAGUUCCCCCUUCCAAAAAUCCAGACCCUAUUCAUCUAUCUUCAAGGGGCACGUAUCUUCUCUAAGUUCGAUUUAAAAGCUAGUUUUUGGCAACUUGGUAUUUCACCAGUUGACCGUCCCAAAACUGCUUUCUGCAUUCCUGAUGCUCACUAUCAAUGGAUUGUUAUGCCCUUUGGUCUUAAAGUUGCUCUGUCCUUAUUUCAAAAGGCCAUGACAAAAAUCUUCAGUCCCAUCCUCCAUCAUGCUCUGGUCUACAUCGAUGAUAUUUUAUUGUUCUCAUCCGAUCAUGAUAGCCAUCAACAACUCCUUUUGGAUUUCUUUCAUAUUGUGUAGGUUCAUGGAAUUAUGCUUUCUGAAAAGAAAAGUAGCAUAGCAAAGGAAUCUAUUGACUUUCUUGGCAUGGUGAUCACAAAUGGCCACUACCAACCUGGCCCGCACAUCGCAACCGAAUUAUUAAAGUUCCCAGACACAAAUCUUACUAAGAAGCAAAUUCAACAAUUCCUCGGGAUUGUUAAUUAUGUUCGAGAUUUUAUUCCUAAAGUUGCAAUCCACACCAGCCAGCUGUCCCUCAUGCUUAAAAAACAGUGUCCUCCCUGGGGACCAGCACAAACUGAAGCUGUCAAGCAGCUGAAGGUGAUAGCUCAAUCACCUCCUCCACUCAGAAUUCCUACAACUGGACAACACAUUCUGCAGACAGAUGUCAGUGAUGACUACUGGAGUGCCAUUCUUCUCGAAAUAAUAGAUGGCAUAGACCACUUCUGUGCUUAUGCAAGUGGACAAUUCAAAGAAUCUGAAAAGAACUACCAUGUGAUCUAUAAAGAAAUCUUGGCGGUCAAGUAUGGAAUCAAAAAGUUUGAAUUUCAUCUCAUCAGGCACAAAUUCCUAAUCAACAUGGACAAUUCCUCUUUUCCUAGAAUCUUUGAUUUCAAGAACAAGUUGCUUCCUGACAAACAGUUACUCAACCUCAAAACUUGGUUCUCCAAAUAUGACUUUACCGUCCAGCACAUUAAAGGUAAACAGAACCUCCUCCCAGACUUCCUUACACGUCCAGCUAUAAAUAAACCCUCACUCCUCUCUUCAACUCACAUCAUCCCAGUCAUAGCCAUGAAUCGACAACUUCCUUUCAAAGCUCUCAACCAAAGAUCUUUCCCCAUGAACAUUCCUUUCUCUUUAGCCUAUCAGAUCCAAGACUUUGCUAAGAAAUUCCUUUAUCGGUAUUUCUUCAAUGUCUACAAUAAGACUCCUGAUCAUUUUCCUACACUCUGUAUGGAAAACUUGUCCCUCACCGGUCUCACCCUGUCUCACCUAUCCAUCUCAGAAGAUGAGUUAUGGUAUAUGUGGUGUCUCACAACCUUGUAUGCUACAAAGCUGGUCUUCCCUAUUAAACCAGUUGUCCGCCACAUCACCACUCCUGAAUUUUCCUCUGACAUUCUAUGGACACUCCUAGAAUGGUAUUCACCCCUCACAUGGUGGCGUAAACAGCUCCAGAAUAUAUUAGCUUUAAAGCAAUAUAUUGAGUGUUCUAUUAUCCAUGUCUCUCUAAACUCCUCUUUCUUAAGUUCUAUGGAGCUCUGAAAUAGAUAAGAAAAAGAAUAAGGAAAAUUUUAAAAAAUGAAUUUGUUCAAAACCAAGUUAGUAUGCUCUACACUUGCCUUUGUAUGAAGGAUCCUGUGUAUCAGAACACUUGAGACGGUCUUUAGCUGUUUUCUUAUCUGGUUUGGUACCGUUCAAAACCAAGUUCCGUUUUAAGCUAAGGAAAGCUGUUUUAGGGUUGUAUAACCAAGCAAAGAAAACUGGUUUUAAGAGUCUCAAGAGCUCGGAGUGGUAUCAGAGUAUAGGAUGCCAGAACAUGAAGCAAACAUGUUCACCACAGUUUUCAUUGUCCACCGGCCAUAUUUUCAACACCCUGAAACCAGAGACUUCUAGACUCAAGACAUGGCUUACAAAUGGAAAACUUAUCGUCAUCCUUACCCUCUCAUCCAUGACACAUCAGUCACAUCUGUUCUUCGAGCUUAUCUCAUGGAACUCAACAAUAUUCAGCCACCUGCUACAAAUAUCCACCACACCUCUGUCGGACUGUCACACAGCUUGGAAAUAGUCCCAAAGACACAGACCUGUACUCCAGGUUCGAGUUCAAGUCCCAAUGGCAUUCUUGUCAUGGAACAACAUCCUGAUUACACUAAUAUUUUAUUCCAAGACGCUCAAGAUCCUUGGGAAGAUUUUCAGUCUCUUCUCCAUACUGAAGAUACCCCAUACACUAUGACCAAUCCAGACUCUCCUUCUUCUUCCACACCAAAAAUGACUGAUGCAGAUGAAGACAAAUAUCUGCAAGCUGAAGCCUCUGUUGAUCAGCGAUAGAUUCGUCAUGCCAAGCGCCAAUAUGAGAAAGAAACUGGUGAUAUGUCCCCAUCUCGCUACCCAUCCACUCCAUGAUUGCCGACACAUGGGAAUAUUUAUCUUUUGCUUUAUUAAAGUUUGCUUUAAUAAUUAGACAUGGGUCCUGUCUUGUCUAAAGUUUGCUUUUGCUUUUAGUUUGGCAUGGUGUGUUUUCCUGCUUUACUACUUUCAUAAUUAUGUUUCUCCUUUUGUAAAAGAGAAGGGUCCCACCUUAUCUCUUUCCUCCUCGAGAUCUCUAUAUAAGGAUCUCUCUUCCCCUUUGUAAACCAGGAGUUAAUCAGAAAUAAAAUUUGAGUUUUCUUACAUCAUGUUUCUCUAAAAUCUCUUCUAUCUUCUAGGAAUCAAGAAAGCUAUUUGGAAUGAAUAAUAAGGAUACGUUCAUCUCUCAUCUCUAUACUGAGUAUGCUCUGCACUUGCCUUAAGCCUAAGGAUCCUGUGCAUUAGAAAUGUCCUGUUUUAUCCUCCAAAAAUGAUUUUUAUAAAUUGAACUUGUUUUCUCACAACGUUCACCCUCUUUAAAGGCCAAGAGUGCCGUGUUUUCGGGUGAUAUCGUGAAAAAACUGUUUUCAAAAAUGAUUUUCGGAUUUGGUAUGAUAAGGAGAAGUGUAUAUCGGCUGGAAACCAGAACUUGCGGGCUACUAGCCCUAAGGACAGACUUUGCUCUGUUAUAGAUCUGGUGUAACAACGCCACGUACAACUACCCUACUGGUAUCAAAGACAUAGAAAAGAGGACUGAACAAUUGCAUGAGAAAGCGCGGCAACACAUAGAAAAGAGGACUGAACAAUAUGUUACUCAAGCCAACAAAGGACAAAAGCAAGUGGUUUUUCAGCCUAGAGAUUGGAUUUGGGAGCAUAAGAGAAAUGAGAGGUUCCCAACACAAAGGCACUCCAAGUUGCUUCCAAGGGGAGAUGGUCCAUUUCAAGUGGUUGCACAUAUCAAUGACAAUGCCUACACAUUGGAUCUUCUUGGUGAGUAUAAUGUGAUUACUACUUUUAAUGUUUAUGAUCUUUCUCCUUUCAAUGCAGAUGAAGAUUCGAGGACGAAUCCUUUUGAGGAGAGGGGGAAUGGUGAGAACCAUCAAUGGAGUACCAUGAAAGCUUCAAGUGAUCCUUUGCACAUUCAUGGAGGCCCAAUUAUAAGAGCUAGAGCCAAAAAGGUUCAAGCUACUUUUAAUGGAUUAAUUGAGAAAAUGUGGACUAAAAAUGAAAUUCAAGAUGUAAGACAUCAUGAAUUGGACUUGGAGAGAAGACAAGGCAUUGUGGGCAUUAUUCAAGCUAUUUAGCAGCCAAAUACACAAUUUGGAUCAAAUGCUCAAUCAAAUUCAGAAAGGGAAUACCAUUGGAAAGAUAAUUAACUUAACUUUCCGAUGCAAUUUCUAGAGCUGGAUUAGGGGUUCUUGUGAGGUACAAUUUUCUCACUUAAAUAUAGUAGAUUUUAUUUUAAGCUAAUAUUUAAUUUUAAGGAAUGAUGACAUAAGUAAUGACAUAAGAAAUGAUGACAUAAGUGAUAAUGUAAGAAGAAGUAUGUAGAGAAAGUUAAGACUUCUUGAAUUUAGUAAGUUCUUUAUUAAGAUUAAUAUCAACCAUUGAUCAAGAGUUGUGGUGGCAAAAUCCUAACCAUCCAUUAGCCUUAAGAAAUUCUAUAAAUACCCCCCACCACCUCUCAUUUUCAAUGCAACCUUGAAAUUUCAUUCCCUUCUAUAACAAUAGUAGAGGAAUCCUUAACUUAGAAAGGUCUAGAGAAGUCAAGAUCAAGAGGUAAGUAACACUUCGACUGCAAUGUAAGGACAAAAUUCUUUUCAUACUUAAGUUCAGUUUUAACAACUCCUUUAUAUUAUGAUGACUAUUAUAGUGUGAUUAGUUAUAUCUUUAUAUGGUCGGCCCUGCUGCCUAAUAUGUGAUGCUAUGGUCGGCUCUACCGCCUAAUAUGUGAUACUAUGGUCGGCUCUGCUGCCCAAUAUGUGAUGUUAUGGUCGGCUCUGCCGCCUAAUAUGUGGUACUUAUACUUAAUUAUGGUAUGGUCGGCUCUGCCGCCUAUACUAAAGACUCUUGUUUUUUAAAUAAUGUUGUGUGUUGAUUUUGUUAUGCAUCGAGGAAUUUCAAAUGUUAUAAGUUGCAUUGGAUGCAUGCAUAUCAUGGACUACAUUAUGAAGAAGACGUUUCAGAAAAUGAAUUUAUGAAAAAUAGGUGGUUGUACUACCAAGUGGCAACUUAGCCCUCAAAGCUAAGUUGAAAGAAAUAUUUUGGGGAUGGCGAUACGUAACGCCCAAAAGAUCAACUAUUGUUUAAAGAGUAAAAGUACCAGCCUUGUAGUGCAACAUACCUAGGGUUAUAAAGUUGUUUUGUAUUUUCUAAGUUUAUUUUAAGAGCUUAAUAUGGUCAUCCAUAUGCAUCAUAAUUUAUACAUGCAUCAAAGUGUUAUCUUACUGGGCAUUAGCUCACUAAGUCCUUACAUUGCAGGUAACGAUGAGUAGGGAAAGCUGGCGCCAAGUCCUAACCAAGACGAAGUGCAUAUGGGCAUAAUGGACCUUGGGAUUUUAUAAUGGGCUCAGCUUUGUUUCAAUAAAAUAAACAUCUUAGUUUUGUGUAAAAUAAAGUUUUUAUACUAAAGAGUUUCUAUAUGACUCUUACUUUUUGUAAGAAAGUUUUGUUUGUUGUAAACUUUUAGAAUUCGUAUUUAUAUUAAAAGUAACUAUGUUUUUAAGCAUUUUUAAGUCAAUAAUAUAGUGGAGUGUUACAGUUCUCUAGAAGGUGUUAUGACCAAUUUAUUACAGCUUGUUUAGGCUGGGGAAUUCCAAUCACUCCUUUGUUUAUUCAACUUCAUUUAUUUAUUUUAUUUCAUGUUUGUCAAUGUAUUAGGUAAGUCUACCAUAAAUGAUGGUGGGCUAGCAUUAAGUUUGUCAAUGACUAGCAUUAAUUAUGGUAGGCUAGCAUUAAGUUUGUCAAUAACUAGCAUUAAUAAUGGUGGGUUGGCGAAGACUUUUUGAAGCAUCCUUUGACAAACCUAUACUUGGAGGGUUUUCAAGUUUAUUUUUAGAAUCUUAGGUUUUUAUUAGCCUAUUUAAACUUAGUAACCUUGCUAUGUAAAAUAAUUAGAGAUAAAUGUUAUUUUGAAUUUGAAAGACCAUUCUUUCUUUGGUUCUUUUGAGAACUAGUGAACUUAUCAAGAAUUUGCAUUCUUGUGGCGUUCCAAAAUAGACUUAUCUCUCACCUUCUUAUCUAAAUCUUGAUUGUGGCAUCAAUAUCCUUCUCUAUACCUCUGGUUCAUGUUUUCUUAAACAUUGGGUCAAGGUUUUAUUUCGCUUAAAUCUAUUCAGAACUUUCUUGGGAAGUUGAAACUUCAAAUUAAGUGUCGAUUUCAAGAUUUCAUUGUGGGGUUCGCAUCAAUAGGCAAGUUGAUAAACAUAAAACCACAAUCGUCAAACUCUUUUCUUUUUAUUUCUUGGGCCUUUGCAUCAAUGGGCCUCGCUUAAUGCCGAAUAUACCCCAAGCAGAUAGUUCAAAGGAACUGGAUUGCUAGUAAUGUUGUUCCAUGCUUCAUCAUCUUUAAAUCAAUUCUAUUGUAGGAAAAUUCUUUUUUAUCAGGUAUUUCUCGUAUUCUGUGUCUAUUCUCACAACUCUCUGGUAUGCUUAGGCAUCUAGUUCUGUAUCAUACUUUUCCAAUCAUGAUUAGCUCUUAAUUGAAUCAAGCAAGGAAGUCCCGGAUCUGCUCAUUUAGCCUUUGUUUUAAAGAGAACGCGGUUGAUACAAAUUUCUACUAUCUUUAGUUCUGGUAGUAUUGUGCUAUGAAUUAUGUACAAAGUUCUUUAAGGCUAUGGAUAGAAUUUUGCUGCGCAAAACUCCUUGUGGCUAGAAGCCUCAUUCGAAUUAACAUGUUGUUCUAGUUUCUAAGUUUAAAGUUGAGUAUCUGUUGAAGUAAUUUUUUUGGUUUAAUAUAGCCAGGUCAGAUUGGUUGUCGGUUUUAUCUUAAUCAAGCAUUAAAUCAUCCGUAUAGUCCUCCGUAUUAGUUUGUAGAAAUUUGGUUUUCCUUGGUUCUGCCAUUUUCUUGUCUAUUGAAGAUUAAUAUUUAUCAAUUCCUAAUGACAUUAAAGGCAUAAUUUCAAGCGCAAUUGCCAUAUUUCAUGCUAUAAAUGAUAGAUGAGUAUAUAUCUUAAAUCCAGAAACCGUUUAAUACAAUUUGUUCGUUAGUUUAACUUCCUUCACCAUUUUAAAAACAUGAAAAUUAUUAUCUAUACAUUAAGUCCUCUGAAUUUGAAAGUAAUUUGUGUGAUGUACAAACUACAAUCGAUUAUCACAAUUUUACUAUGUAAUCAUGUUCAAACCAACAAACUUAAUCAGUAUCCCAAGUAUUUAUCGUUUUUUACCAAUUAUCUUAAGAUUUGAUGGACUUAACAAAUAAAAUUCGUUUGUUGUUAGUUCGAUUUUUAUUGUUUAAUUGUCCGAUCCCGGCAGAGAGGGCCAAUUGAAGGCUAAAAUAACCUUCAAUGAUCCGGAUUCUUGUAUAUAAAGAAGAAUCAAAAUCAAAUCUGUUCAAUUAGCAAACUUCAAUAUCAAUCCUUAGUUCUUAAGGAUUUUUACAAAUUAACUCAAGCGUGUACCUAUAAAAGGCACUUUGAUACUUUUGUUAGCAUUUGUGACUUGAGAUUUUUAGAUCUGGACUCUAAAUUUCUCUUGACUUGAGCAAGGAUUCGCCAAAACAUCGUUUCUCGAUUCUUUUGGCUUCCAUUUAUGGUCUAAGUAACACGAAAUUGGCUGGAGAUCUUCUUUUGGAUCUAAGUCCCACCUGAUGAGAUUAAAGAUAAAACUAUCACAAGCACAUGGGAUGAGGCAUAUUCAUAUCCUAUUCAAGUUCCCGUCGAACCCGUUACAAGAGCUCGAGCAAAUAAAUUCAAAGAAGCGCUUAAUUGAUUGAUUCAAACAACUUGGGCUCAAUCAAAUUCGUGGAGGCCCGUUGAAGGAAUCGCACAUGAAGUUUCCAAAUAGUCACUUUCAUGAAAUAGGGAGUUGGCUUGCACAUUAUGGCGGGAAAAUAUAUUAUUUUCCUUUUUCAGAUACUUUCCCGUUUCUUGAGGAGGCUAUUAGGGAAACAAAUUAGUUAUUUCUAUUUUAAUCGCCUAGUUUCCAUUUAAUUGAUGUAAGGCAUUUAAGCCAAUUAGGAUCUUGAUUUGAUUUAGAUUCUUUCUUAUUUACUUAGAUUAGGAUUCUGAUUUGGUUUAAAUUCUUACCUAUUUACUUAUAUUAGGAUUCUGAUUUGAUUUAGAUUCUUUCCUAUUAGGGAAGAUUUAGAUUCAUAUUUGAUUUUUGGGUUAGGAUUUAUUUCCAAAAAUUCUUGUAACCAACCCUAUAUAAAGUACUCGUAUUCAAUAAACAUGGAAGAAGUUUUUCUGAUGCAAUUGGUGAGAGAGUUAAUUCUCUUUGGUUCUUUACGAACUCUUUGAACUUAUUGGAUUUCCGUGGGGUUCAAACUCUUGACUUAUCAAUCAGAUCAUCCAUAGCUGAUUGUGGCGUCUUCACAUACCAAGGUUUGUGCUUUCAAUAAGCAUUGGGUCGAGGUUCCAUUCCAUUCCUAGUUUAGAUUCGAUCUUGGGAACUAAAUUGAUUAGGGUCGCGUCAGUUCUUGACGGGGUUCGUAUCACCACCAUCCAUUUUAUUUGUUUAAUUUUAUAUCAUCAGAUUCGAUAACUGUUUUGUCUGUAUCUAAAUUCUCUAUACGUGAUUUGGUUAGUAAUCAAGUGCUUUUUGUUGAUAUUUUGGGUUUAAUCAUUGACCAUCUCUAAUUUUUUUGUACAAGUUACCUAUCGCUUUUGAUAUUUAUUUAUAAUGUUUAUUGGACCCAUGGUGUAGUGUAAGUGUAUAUACUUUUUGGCACUUAUAAUGGCAAAGAUAAAAGUAAACGAUAAUUACUCUUAGGGUGUCUUUAGUAUUAUUUUUUACCAACUAUUUUUUGUUUUGCAAGAAAAAUAUACUAUUAAACUAAUAAUGGUAAAACAAAAUUUUUCUUUCUCCAACUUUUGUGAAGAAAAAUGAAAUGAAAUUUGGGUCCAUUUGGUAUUGUUUUUCAAUAAGUGUUUUUAACACUUUUUUAAGAGAAAGAAAAUAGUGUUUUUGAUUUGAUGUUUUUGAAAGGAAAAACUUAUUUGAUAUUUUAUUUUAAAAUAGUAUAUAAAAAUAAAAACAGUAAAAAUAUAUUUAGUUGUUUAUCCUAAAGCAAGUGAAAAAUAAAACUAUGCUUUAAUAAACAACUCCUGAAAUAUAUGCUUUAAUAAAACUAUCCUAAAAUAUAUGCUUUAAUAAAAUGUGUUUUUCUAUUCUUUAUUAAGCAACAGAUAUACUUAUUAUUUCUUAAAUUUUAACAUUAUAAAUUUAUUAGUUCAAUAAAAUGCAAAUGAACAACUCCUGAAAUUAUUUAUUUCUCUUUUACAACUUAUAAGUUGUUCUUUAGACAAAAAUAGUAAAAAAUAAAAAUCUGCAUUUGUAUAUGAAAUAUCUGCAUUUUAUAUUCUUUUAUAAAAGAAUAUUAUAAAACAUUAUUUCUCCACCUCAUGUUUGCAUGUAAGAUUGGAUUUGACUGAUUAUUAGAAUUAGAUUGGACUAGAUUAAAAUAGAUUAGAUUGGAUUAGCCUGGUAUAAUAUGACACAGAAAUAUGUUAAAUUUAAUUUAGCAUAGCUAAAUAACUAUUUAAAUAGUAUAAAUUUUUGAAAUUAUAUUAUAAUUGUUUUAAUAUUUUAAUUUCUUGUAAAUAAAAUAUUGAAUUAAAAUUUGAUAUUCUUUAUUUAAAUAAAUUACAAAAUUAAUUUUAUAUUUGUUUAUGGAUCAAUAAUCUUAUUGCUUUUGGAUUAAAUUUUGGACUAAUCAACUAGUUCUGAUGGUCAAACAAGCCUAGAAUUGAAUUAAUUUGUUUUCUCCCAAAAAUUUGUCCAAUCCUACCUCUUAUCCUAGCAUCGAAAGAUGGUCCUAGUGUUCUCUUUUACGAGAAUGAAAUUUUUUUUUUUACAAAUUCUUGGUUUAUUGUAAAAAAAAAAAGCCCCCUAAACAUAUUUUUUUUGUGUUUUGUUCUUACAAAACGGAAAACAGCUUCUCAAAGACAAUGCCAAAUACACCUUUCGUCUCCCUUGCCCUCCAAAGCUCACCAGAGUUCGAUCAUCCUUUAUAAAUUUUUGCAAAUUUCUUAUAUAAAAAAAUAAAAUAGAGAAUUUUUUUCUCAAAUUUUUGGUUGAAGAGCAAAUAAUAAUAAGAUAUGAAGUUGCUUUAAAUGUGAUUUGAUAGUGAAAUACUUAGGGCCUGUUUGGUAUUGUUUCUGAAUUUCUAUUUUCUAAAAAUGAAAAUGAGAAUGAAAAUGAUAUUUUACAGUUGCUAUAUUUCGAAUUUAAGUAUGUGUUUGUUAUCAUUUUCUGCAUCCUGUAUUUUAAAAUUACAAAUAGUAAUAUGCGUUUGGUAGACACAAUUGAAAAUAAUAAAAAUAGUAAAUAUGUGUUUGGUAGUACCAUUUUCAAAAACAAUUUUUACUAAACAUUUAAGCCAUACUUAUAGUUAGAAAAUAAUUGUUUAAUUAAUACAUACAUAAACAUACCAUAAAUAAUUUAAACAAACUAAUUAUAAAAAAUUACAUGAUGAUAAAGUUUUAGUAGUAGCAUUAAUAAAAAAAACAGUUUUACAUUGUCAUUGUUUCUACACUAUAAUUAAGAUAUAUAUUACAACACAUAUGAUUUAAAGAAAAUAAUUAUAAAAAAUUACAUGAAAGACAUCAUGCAUUACACAUGUAAUCAUGCCACAUAGAAGUUGCAAUUCUAUCUCUUGUAGCAUUCAUCUCUGCAAUACUUGCUGGAGAUAAAUCAAUAUUAGUAAAUGGGCUACUAGAAUCUCCUUCUUCAUUGAUAACCAUAUCUUGCACAUCAAAGUCCUCAAAUCAAUAUUAAAAUUUAAAUACUACUAAAAAAAUUAAAAAAAAUAACAUAUAUCAAAUAUUAAUCAAAUUAAAGAAACUGCUCCUACACAUACAUAGCUUAAACUUUUGGAAUUAAUCAAAUUCAACAAAGAAUGAAAGACAUUUUAGCAAUAUGUCAUAGAUUAAAAAUUGAACAUAUCAAAAUCAAAUAUAUUCUACUACAAAUUGACCAAUUCAAAUUAAGACCAAGCUCUUGCAAUUUCAAAGUUUUACAUCUUCUAAAAUCACGAGUUCAAGUUUUAAUUAUUUACAACAGCAUAAAGAAAUUGAGUAACCUUGAUUGAUUGUUUGGCAAAGAUACUGAGAUGUAUGAGUAGAUAGAUAUCUAGACCUUCUAUGAAUACAAAACCAAUACGUAUAAAAUGGGGAGGACUUAGAAAAAUUGGAUAGUUAUUAUCAAACAUUAUUCAGCUUAUUUUUAUCCGUUUAUCUUUUUCGACUUAGUCAAUGCAAAUCCCACACACUUUAUUCAUCCAUGGCGCACGUGGUUUAGAUCCUUUGUUAGUUCUUCCUAUUGAUAGCUCAAAACAAGCUUUACAAAUCAUAUAAUUUAAUAUUAUAUGGUUACAAGCCCUAUAUGCUUUUUUAUUUAUGUAUUAUUAUUAAAUGCAUGUAAUAUAUAUAUAUAUAUAUAUAUAUUCUUAAUUAAGGCUUCAAUAUUGAAUACAGAUAUCGAUUGUACAAAUAUUCAAACUACUGCAUUUCUUAAUAAUACAUUAUUGUCUCUGUAAUUACAUACAUAACUCUGGGGGUCACUGGAUAAUAAGCAAAGACAAAAAUAUGGACAAUAUUAUUGUAGCUAGCCAGUGUUGACUAGCCUCGAAUAUGAGCAUAUGAGCAUAUAUACCAUCAUCAAUGUGUAAUGCAAAUACCAUAUCUCACCCAAAAUCUCACACCAUACUUUCAAUCAAGAUUUGCUCAAAUAAAAAAAUAAAAAGAUCUAACAACUCACACAAUAGUAUAGACAAAGCCGAGAGAGUAGCAGCGGUCAAGACAAUCGAGACGGAGCAACAGUAGGGCCGAGAUGAAGCGGCGGCGGCGGUAGAGAUAAGAGUACAGCAGUCGAUUUGGGCACACUGAGAGAGAGUAAGCACCGUGAAUAGAUCGGGAGAGAUAAGGAGAGAGAGUCAAAGAGAUAAGGAUGAAGAGAGAGUUGUUGGAGUUUGCUUUUUUCAAUUUAUUUUUUGAGUUUAGUUUUGUAAUAUGUGGAGAACAUGGUAAACAUGUUUUCACUUUGAUAAUUAUGAAAGUGAAUCUUAAAUUAUUUAUUACAAAUUCAGCCACCGAACACGUAUUAACUUAGAUCUAUAAAAGGAAAAUGAAAACAAAGCCUAUAAAAUGUUACCGAACAUGCCCUUAUUUUUUUAAGAUCAUUUGUAUUUUAGUUUAAUUAAUUAUAUGAAUGCCAGCUAACUGAGUUGAUAAAACCUCUUAUCUUAAAAUAAGAGAUUUUAUAUUUGAAUCUCACUCACAUAAAUAGGAAGAAAUUGAGUUUUGAUUAGAUUAAAUUAAAAAAUGUAUAUUUUUUACUUUCCAGCAAAAACAUUAUUAUUUUUUAAUUUUUUCAGACAAAUGAGUAAAUGCAUUUCCACAUUAUUCAUUUUUAUAUACCAGUUGAAAAGUAAACCAGCAACGCACCUUUUUUUUUUAACGCACACAUUGACCAAUUCAUCUCUUUUGCUUGGGGUUGGACAAUAAAGCACAACACAAACUCACUCCCAACUUCGUGAGUGUCAGAAGGCAACAAAUUUUGUUGUGUUUACAGAGCAAAAUUUUUUACUUUAAUUUGGGGCCAUGGAGAGCAUCGUAAAUAAGCUGAGGAAUUUAAACGUGUACCCCAAAAUUAACAAGGAUUUCUACAGUCGUACGCUCUUGCUUGCUCAUUCUUGUCUUUCGACUUAAGCCUUGAAGAGAAUCCUUUUUCAAGAAGUUUUUUGCAAUGAUAAAAUUCUUCUAUAGCAUGUAGUUCGUGCAUUAAUUCAAUUAAGGUCAUAUCUUUAUUGUUUAAGAUAUAGCUGACCUUAAACUCUUUGAAUGUAUCAGGUAAAGAUUCAAUCACCAUGUUAAUCUUUGAUUUAUCAUUGAUUUGAACACCAUGAAUCUCUACCUCAUUCAAAUAGUCCAUCAUUUUGAGGACAUAAUCACAAACUUUUGUGCCCUCUUCCAUCUUAGUAUCCAUAAUACGUUUUAAUGCUGCUUCUCUGGCAAAACGAGUAUUUUGCCCGAACAUCUGAUGAAGACUAGCCAUUAUUUCAGUAGCUGUUUCCAUGCUCCGAUGUUUCUUAUGCAGUUCCACAGAAAUCGAAGCCAAUAUAUAGCGCUUAGCCAUUUUGUUAGCUUCGCACCAUUUCUCAUAAAGCUCCCUCUGAUUUCUAUAAUCGUAUAACGACGGUUCAGGAGGGCAAGGCUGGGUCAACACAUAUUUGCUUCCCUUAGCAGUGAGAAUAUUAAAUAGAUUACGUUUCCAAUCUAAAUAAUUUUCGCCAGUGAGUUCAUUUUUAACAAGGAUAAUUAAUAAUGGGUUGAUGGAAGACAUUUUCUGAAAAAAAUAAAAUACACAUGCAUAAAUACUUUGAAACAAUAUUCACAAUAAAUGACAAAAAUGCAAAAAACCAUAAAUGCAUUUUAAUUUAUUGUAACGAUAAUCUAGUACCGCUUUGACAAGCUAUCCGGUGUGGAAGUCAUGUCUAUACUUACUAGACCCAAUUACCCAUUGGAUUAUUUACUUUCAUGUAGAGACAUGAUAAAUAAUUAUCGUUAUCCCUUUAGGCCUAAAUUUGUUAAUAGAGCUUCGUUGGGAAGGUUAAUAACAAACUUUAGUUGAGUGUAUAACCAUUGUUUCAAUCUACGUAUUUUUCAUAUCAAUAGUCACCGUUGGGGUGAACAAUCGAUUAAAAAAUAUUUCAAUUUUAUCUUUGAAGAAGUUCAUCAAAUAAAAUAUCUAAUAUAUAUACCCUCCGAAGGGAGCAUCACCGUAUCAUGAAGUCAAGGUAUAUAUAUAAUUUUAUUAUUGAACUAACAAUGGAACCCGUGGGAAAAUUAUCUUGAAUUUUCCCUCUCCCACUCAAUAUUUUAAAAUUGGUUUUUCCUUUUUAAAACAUACAUAUUGUUAAUUGCAUGCCUCCUAUAAUAUCAUCUAGAUGAUAUCAAAUAUUAUUAAACAUGUGAAAAUUUCAAACAACAUAAUGAGAUUCAUUAUUAAUGAAUGACAUGUAACAUUAUGCAUAGAGUGGCACUACCUAUUCUAUAUGACAUGUUAUCAUCCAAAACAUAACAUAUAGAAAAACAAUUAAAUAAUCUUAAUUCAUGGCUUUCCUAAUAAUGAAAAAUAAAUUAACCCUAAGCCUAAUCUUCAUUGGGCUUCUUGUCAAUAUCCAUCUUCCAUAAUCUUGUUUUUGUUAAUGGACUAGGGGAAAUUGGGCUUUUAAUUCAAUUAAGGUCAUAUCUUUAUUUUUUAAGAUAUAGCUGACCUUAAACUCUUUGAAUGUAUUAGGUAAAGAUUCAAUCACCAUGUUAAUCUUUGAUUUAUCAUUGAUUUGAACACCAUGAAUCUCUACCUCAUUCAAAUAGUCCAUCAUUUUGAGGACAUGAUCACGAACUUUUGUGCCCUCUUCCAUCUUAGUAUCCAUAAUACGUUUUAAUGCUACUUCUUUGGCAAAAUGGGUAUUUUGCCCAAACAUCUGAUGAAGACUAGCCAUUAUUUCAGUGGCUGUUUCCAUGCUCCGAUGUUUCUUAUGCAGUUCCACAGAAAUCGAAGCCAAUAUAUAGCGCUUAGCUAUUUUGUUAGCUUCGCACCAUUUCUCAUAAGGCUCCCUUUGAUUUCUAUAAUCGUAUAAGGAUGGUUCAGGAGGGCAAGGCUGGGUCAACACAUAUUUGUAGCCCUUAGCAGUGAGAAUAUUAAAUAGAUUGUGUUUCCAAUCUAAAUAAUUUUCGCCAGUGAGUUCAUUUUUAACAAGGAUAAUUAAUAAUGGGUUGAUGGAAGACAUUUUCUGGAAAAACAAAAUAGACAUGCAUUACUUUGAAACAAUAUUCACAAUAAAUGAAAAAAAUGUAAAAAACCAUAAAUGUAUUUUAAUUUAUUGUAACGAUAAUCUAGUACCGCUUUGACAACCUAUCCGUUGGGGAAGUCAUGUCUACACAUACUAGACCCAAUUAUCCAUUGGAUUAUUUACUUUCAUGAAGAGACAUAAUAAAUAAUUAUCGUUAUCCAUUUUGGUCUAAAUUUGUUAACAGAGCUUCGUUGGGAAGGUUAAUAACAAAUUUUAGUUGAGUGUAUAACCAUUGUUUCAAUCUACAUAUUUUUUAUAUCAACAGUCACUGUCGGGGUGAACAAUUGAUUGAAAAAUAUUUUAAUUUUAUCUUUGAAGAAGUUCAUCAAAUAAAAUAUAUAAUACAUAUACCCUCCGUAGGGAGUAUCACCGUAUCGUGAAGUCAAGGUAUAUAUAUAAUUUUAUUAUUGAACUAACAACGGAGCCCAUAGGAAAAAUUAUCUUGAAUUUUCCCUCUCCCACUCAAUAUUUUAAAAUUGGUUUUUUCCUUUUUUAAAACAUACAUAUUGUUAAUUGCAUGCUUCCUAUAAUAUUAUCUAGAUGAUAUCCAAUAUUAUUUAAGCAUUUGCAAAUAACAAACAAUAUAAUAAGAUUCAUAAUUAAUGAAUGACAUGUAACAUUAUGCAUAGAAUAACACUACCUAUUAUAUAUGACAUGCUAUCAUGACAUAUUAUCAUUCAAAACAUAACAUAUAGAAAAACAAUUAAAUAAUCUUAAUUCAUGACUUUCCUAAAAUGAAAAAUACAUUAACCCUAAGCCUAAUCUUCAUUGGGCUUUUUGUCAAUGUCCAUCUUCCAUAAGCUUCUUUUUGUUAAUGGACUAGGGAAAAUUGAGCUUUUAAAUUUAUAAUCGGUCCAAUUUUAAUUUUGAAAAAAAUAAUAAUUUAAUUUUUUUUAUUAACAUAAAACUUUUGGAUCAAAUAAUUUCCAUUGGGCCUAAAGCUAGGAUUCAUUAAGCCCAAAACUGUUUUUUGACUUAAAUGCAAAACAUUUAAACCUUUUCUACCCGAAGAAAAAUGGUGGAACCAUAGGGACCUCGAUGAUAAAAACCAUUAAAACCCUAAAUCCAUCUUUUUCUCUCCCCUUCUUCUCCAGCCGCCAUUAACACAAAGCCAGCCGCUGGUCACAAUUUCCAGCCAUCUCCGACGUCGAGUUUGCUGCCGUCGUCACGCUGGAAACACACCAAACGACGCCCUCCGCCAGCAGCCUGCGCACACGCGUCACAAGUCCUCGCGCUGCACCAGAAACAUUUUUUCUGAUUAAUAAAAAUUAAUGAGGUAUUUUAUUCAAAUAUCUUAAUUGCAUUAAUAUUUUUAUUAAAAUCCAUUUAAUCAUAUUAUAUGUAUUUAUGUUAUCACCAUGAGGGUUCACAGAAGACAUAAAUACAAGUUAUCUUAUGAUUAAAUAAAUUUAGUUCGCAGUUGAUAAAUAAAGUUGGGCACUUUAUUUAGGUAUAAACUGUAAUAAAUUCAUUGAAUGAUUUGUCUUAAUCAUGUAUGAAUUUAUUGAUGUAGUACGACUACAUUGAACAGGAUCACAUAUGAGAUUUAAUUAACUUUGUAAUAACUGUCAGACUUAUUAAAUCUCAAAGCAUUGAUUUUACUGUAAUCUUAAUCUUAAGUUAAUUACCAAUGGGCAUGACACAUACUUGUAGUCUAGAUUACCCGGUAUCUUGGUGGGAGCAUUUAUGAGUAUUGAAGUUAUAGAUUAACAAUAUAGAAUUUGUACAACACAUCUCUUAAUGGGUUUUCGGCACUUGAUCAUAGAAUUCUCUGGCCAGAGUGUGUCAACAUAUUUAGUAUGUUGAAAAUGAUCAUUAGAGAAAACCGGUAAGGAUCAAGGAAUAAGAUGUUAUUAAAUUGAUUGGAUAGUUGAGAUAUCAAUUUAAUUAAUGAUGUGGUACAAAGGAUUGUGCAGUAAAGAAAUCAAUGUGGCUUGGGACGAAUUAUUAUUCUUAUUCGAGCAUACAGAAGUCAGUUCCAAUCUUUUAGUGGAGUAGAUUUGGAAUUAAAUAAUUGGGCUAGUUUAAUUACAGGCCUAAUUAUUGUAGCCACUAUUGUAUGUUCCCAAAUGAUCCUCGGGUUAGCUCAUUUAAUUGACUGCACCACUACUGGAUUAAUAAGCAAGAUAACUAGUUAUUUUGGUCAAAAGUCUGAAUAUAUCAUUUAGUGGGAGGUUCCAUUUAAUUAACUUGUGUGUAAGGGGCCUUAUGUUAUUUUACAAGGUGGGUCUCCUAUAGAAAAAGCAAGUAACGUGAGUUUUUAUUUUGAUUUUUUGGAGCCUAGGGUUUUCACUAAAGGGAGAUAUAAAAGGCUUAUUUUCUCUAAAGAAAGGGAGCAGCCACUUUAUACAGAUCAGAGAAAAAAAAUUUCUCUCUAUUGUUGAGAAAAAAAUUUUCUCGUGCUAGUUACUUUGGUAGUGAUAAAGGCGCCUACUCGUCAAGUGCAGAUAAAACCUGAGUCAUAACCUGGAAGAUCAUUGGUGCCAGUUCGUGUUCUAACAAGCGUGGUGGUGACAGAUCGUGAUCUAAUAGGAGUGGUGGUGACGGAUCGUGAUCUGGAGCCUAAAUCAUUUCAGCGGAAAAAACUAAAUCAUAUUUUCAAGAUACGAUUUCUAAAUUACAAAUUCUUAUAUAUUAUAUGAAAGCGAUCUUAAGAAAUGGUUUUAUAAAAAUUUAAAAACCUGAUUUUUCCCAACAGAUACUUCUAGAGGCGAAACCCUGCAUAUUAAUGUAAUCAUGAAGUAAUUUUGUUAUUUGUUCAAAUGUUAAAAUACGACUCCGUUUAUUAUCGUUGUUCGUAACUGUAGCUUUUAAAAAGUGGCUUUACAAAGUCAAGUUUCCCAAAUGCUAUCAACUUUUAUUUCACACCAGAAUAGCACACUAUCAAAUAGAGCAUAUCCUUUUGAUUUGAUGGUUUUAAUUGUUUUUAAACCGCUUUUCUACAUGUUAUUCUCAUCUUCAAAGAUUUACUCUCUCAAUUUUUAUCUUUUACUUAAGAUACUUUCUUUUCCCAUAUAAGCAAUAACUAAUGGCGAUAUAUUGAUUAGCCUCAUCUUUGUUGGAUAAUGCAGUUUGAUAUCACUUUUCCUGCCAUUCCAUGUUCAUUACUCAGGGUUGAUGCUAUGGAUAUCAGCGGAGAGCAACAUCUUGAUAUAGUAUCCACAACAAACAAUAAUUAAUUUAUUGACUAAGUUAUAUUCAAUUUUGUUCCCCUUGUACUGUAAGGAAUAAUGAAUUGUCUAUACUAUAGAUUUUAUUCAAUCAUAUUGCUUUUGAGAAGUUUUCAGUGAAUUUCAUUUUUCUUUUGUUAUGUACGUGGCUUUGUUUUACCAGAGUGAUGAGAUCCUUGGCAAGCCGAGAUAUUUAAAUCUCCUUUGGACCAGUAGUCCGCACACCUUAGUUUCCAACCGAUAUACACUUAUCCAGUUAAUACCAAAUCCGAAAUUCAUUCUUGAAAACAAUUUUUUCACGAUACCACCCGAAAAUCGUCAAAGAGGGUGAACGUUGUGAGAAAACACUUUCAUUUUAGAAAAAUCGGUUUUGGAGGAUAAACAAGACCUUUCUGAUGCACAGGAUCCUCAAGCUUAAGGCAAGUGCAGAGCAUACUCAGUUUGGAAAUUUUUGAGGUGAGCGUAUCAUUUUUAAUUCGAAUAAUGUCUUCGAUUCCUAGAAGAGAGAAAGAGGUUUAGGGAAACAUAAUGUAUAGAACUGAAGUUUUUAUUUCAGAUUGGCUCCCCUUACAACUGAGACCAAAGGUGCCUUUUAUAGAGUAUCAUUGAGAACAGGACCUCUCAAAUGAUCAAAUCACAUGGCACACCUUUUUUGAAAGCAAAGCACGCCGAUUAGGACUUUUACAAAAGAUAAAGCAUACCUAUAAUGACUUUAACAAAAGUAAAGCACACUGACAAGGACUUUAACAAAAGACAAAUGGGAGUCACAUGGGUUAUUGCAUCAAAAGUUGUGUAAGAGCGACAAAGUGUCAUUAUAGAGUGGAUGGAUAGCGCGAUGGUGACACGUCUCCUGUGGCUUUUUCAUAUUGUCGCUUGUGCCGACGCCUUUGUCGCUGGUCGAGAUACGCCUCAGCUUGCUGGUAUUUGUCUUCAUCAGCUUCAGUCAUGGGCUGAGAUGUAGAUGCAGCAGGAGAGGCUGGAGUGGUGACAGUAUAAUGGGGAUUUUCAUAAGGGUGUGUGAUGGUCUAAUAGAGGUGUGGUGAAUGUUUAUGGCUGGUGGAGGAACAUUGUUAAGUUCCAUGAGAUAGGCUUUGAGAACAGAGGAAACCGAUGUAUCAUGGAUGAGGGUAUAAGGAUGAGGGUAAGUUCUCCAUUCAUAUGCCAUGUCCUGUGUCCAGUAGUCCCGUGUUUCUGGAUGCUGGAAAUAAGGCAUGUGGAUAAUGAAGACUGUAGUCCACAUGUUAGUUUCUUGUUCUGGCAUAUUGUCUAAUCCAUGAAAGGUACACAAAUGUUGGAGUUGCUUGCGCCACCAAGUGAGUGGGGAAUACCAUUCAAAGAGAGUCCAUAGUAGAUUUGGUGAGAACUCCGGAGUGGUCAGGUGAGUCAGGACAGGUCUGAUGGGAAAAACUAACUUUGUAGCAUACAAGGUGGUGAGACACCACCUGCUGUACCGUACAUCCGCCUUGGCCGUACAGCAGAGAGUCUCUACUUACCGCUCUGAUGUAAGGAGAAUCCGGGUGCUUCAGUAAGCCAUGCAUUUGUUUGACAGUAAGUUUCAUAGUGAAAAACUUGUAAAGAAGACAGAAUGCAGUUGAUGGACCACGACAAUUUCCAGUCAUCCAAGGUUCCACAUGAUCCACCUGAUUGUAAAUUUCAUCUAUCACCUCAUGGUAGGUCUUUAAGCGGUAAAGUUCUUUGAAGUAAUCAGACGAUAGUAUGUUCAUACAAAGGACCUUCUCCAACAAAGAAUCAAUUGGUUUACCGCAAGUCUGAAUUUCCGUCAUGGGUCACCAAAUUAAGUAUAUAAUGUAUUUAGUAUCAACGCAAUCUUAUUCCUAUAAGCAAUAUGAAACUUGUGAGUUAUACAAUUUAAGAAACAGAGAGAACAGUAGCAAAGCCACUACCGAAUUAUUUCUCAAUACAGGAAUACCAAAAUCAACGAAAAUAGCAAAUAAGAAAUUCAAAUUAGGUCAAGAAAAUAAUAAUAAUAAUAAUAAUAAUUUAUAGCUUUUUUUUCAACCAAACAGAAGCAGCUAAGGAAGUAAACUUUGAAUAUAUAUUGGGAUACAAAGAGAAAAUUAAAGCUUAACGAAGGAAUAUUGAAAGGGAAACACUAAAACUGCUGUACGGCCAAGGCGGAUGUACGGUACAGCAGAAAUUACACAGAUGCACUUCUAAGGCUAAACCAAGAUAAACAUCAAGCCAAAUCUAGUCGUAUACAUCAUUCUCUACCUUAUACAAUCAAGGCUUUUGACCUUGGCUUCUGAUACAAAAAUGUCAAUAUCAGAGAAACAGAACAAUAAUCAUUCACAAUUCAGUCCAUAAAUAAUGUUUCUCAAGAGUUCACGACUGAAAAAUACAUGCACUCUUCACAUAUCUCAUAUGGCAGUGAGGUAACACAACGUAAAAUAGGCGAAAAAAAAAAGAAUAACAUUUACCAAUAUACAUGCAUCACUCUGUUACUGCACUAUCGUCUAUCCAUCACCACAUUUC
rnacentral:lncRNA from 1 species